CCACACAAUAGAUCCCAAACUCCCACGACUUGAAAGCAAUUACGCCGUAUACUGACAAGUUAACAACUUAUUUGAACAUUUAUGUCUUCAAUUAAUUAUUAAUUAUAAAAAAACAUUACUUCGUGCACCGCAUGAUACAACUAUAGUUAGUUAUAACAUGCAAUAGUUGUUGUUCGGUACGUUUGCAAUUUUUUUUUUAAUUCUGAAUUAUUUCCUUACCAAAAGAUUCAAACGUGGAAUACUAUUAAUUAAUGUUGAUUAAUCUUUAUUCUAAAAGAAGUUAAUCCACUUUGGUCUGUCUUCAAUAAUCGUAAAACAAAUAAUUGGAUAAGCAAUGUUAUCUACCUUGUGGAUAACUAUUGCUUUUGGAAUGGCAAUAGCCAUUGGCAUUAGUACGGCGUUUGUAACUACAAAUUUUAGAAGCAUACAACAUAAUCAUCAACGUGACAACAGCGAUGAUGAGUUUUUUGACGCACCAAGCGAUGAAGAAAGUCUUGACAAUGAUUCUCCCCUUCCACCAGGAUGGAGAUAAUUAACUUUACAUUUUUUAUACCUUACUUUCUUUAACUUAAGUUUAUAAAAUGUCUAAAUUUACAUAUAGAAUAUGAACAGCAAUAAAAUUUGAACAAAACUAAUAAAUUAAAAUAAAUAGUAAUUUAAGAGUUUACUAAAGAGGGAUAGUUAGUUUUAUUUAUAUCUUUUCGUACUAUAACUGGAAGUUUAACAAUAAGUUAAAUAUGUUUUAUACAUUUGUUAUAUUUAAUGAUAGUUGUGUCGAUUACUUCAAUAAAAUGUUGUAUGAUCAAUA